CCACCCGUGGACGGCGAGACGCAGACCGCUGUGGGCCGGAGUGACCGUGGGCAGGAGUGGUGACGUGCCUGCUCCCAGCCAAGGCGUUAAGAGGCGGUCGUGUUUCCUUCCCCUUCAGCCUCUGCCGGUAAGCAGCACGAGGAGAACACGCCCUGGCCAGCUGACGGGUCCGAGGCGGCGGGGAGGCACGUGGAGCCGACCCGAAUAUGCACACCUCCAGCGGGAUGCACAGCCAGACACACGAGUUCCUGCACGCAGAUCAACUGCAGGAGGAACUACAACUGAGCAGAAAGGAAAGAAUGAAAUUCACCCACAGUCUUAGUACCUGUGGAGAAAUACUUUUCCCAGAAUCUUUGGAUAAUUUUUAAAAUAAAAACAAGAGCCUACUACAUACACAAUUUAUAUUCUGAUUUUUUGUUUGAUGAUAUCCCGUUGAACAUCUGUUUGUGCCAGUAAAUAUUCCUCCACAGCAUCCUUUCAUAGCUGUGCAGCGUCCUGUGCUGUUAGAGUCACUGCGAAGCUAUUGUUGGACAUCAGAGCUCAGAUCUCAUAAUCGUGGCUGAUGCUUCGUCAGAAGCUCUGAAGUCAGAGAGUUGUGGUCCCCUGAGUACUCCAGCACCUGACUCAUCACAGAUGGCAGCUGAGGAAUGCAGCCCUCAGCUUGGAUGGCAGGAAGCCAUGGGAGGAACACACCACACCAGAGGCCUGGUAAUGACCGGUCUUGAACACUCAUGCCAACAGCUCGUGUGCUCACGCUGCCAAUGAAGACAUCAGAUUUGGGGACCAAGUUAGUGCAUCAGCAUCAGCCGUUCCACACCACACCACCGUGAAAACCAAAUCAGCGGGCGCCUGCUGGAAAAUUGAUGCAUGAUGCCCGAGAAGCCUCUCGCUCCGGAUGCUAAAGAGAUGCCCAUUACUGGCACCUUCCUUGACUGUCUCAGAAUUGCUCGAGGGCCCUGUCGCUUUGUGAGCUGCGCCAGUAAUGAGCUGUUAAGCCUCACCUACCUUGGCCAAUUGCACUGUCCUCUCCGGACUCACUUCAGUGUCUAGAGUUGGAGAUUCCCAAGCAAGGCAGUAACCUCAAGAGCUCAUCGAGCCCAUUCUCCAGCUUCUGGGCCGACCAGACCCCUGCCCACUGUCUAAGAAAAAAGCACAUCCAUUAUCCUUUCAACCCUCAUAAGCCCCCCAGCAAAGAAGAUAUUCCAUUCCCACUUUACAGAUGAAAACAAUGAGGCUUGGUGGGAAUACAAGGCUAUAAGUGCUGGCACAGGCCAGGAACCCACACUGAGGGUUGGUUCCACCCUCCAGACAGGCCCUGCAGACUUGGAGAAACAUCUUCUAGGUCAGCUUCCCCUCCCCUGCUUCUCAGCUCCCCCUGACAGAGUGGAAUAGGACUUGAAAAGGGAGCCUUUGCCGCAAAGGCAAGCAGAGUCCCAGGUCUUAUCUCUGUGGAGCAGCGUUUCUAUUCCUCGUAGAGGGAGGGUGGUAGGGGCUGGGUGGCAAGCAGGCGUGACUGAGCCCAGCUGGCAGGCCAUCCCCAAACCUCGGCAAGGACACGGUCUCUGUAAGCCAGAGCUUUCCUCUCACCAUCCAGUAUGGAGGGGGUUGGCCAGAAUAGAGGCCCAGGUGAAAUGCAGGCUCAUAGGUCUCCAGGCCCAGGGGCAGCCGCACUACUGAGGUCAUCCGGACAGUGAGGCAGCCAGACCGUGAAGCCUAGAAUCGCAGGUGGGCAGCUUCGGGACUCCCCUGGUGAAGUUGCAGGCUGCCUCCCAAGUCUGUAAGGUGAGGCUCCCUGAGUUUGGGGAGCAGGCCCCCCUCUCUGAGCUGGAGGACAGAGGAUAACCUCCCUCACUUUAAUUCCCAGCCCUAGAGGGUGGCUUCUCAACAAUAGAAAAUUCCUUCUCACCGUUCUAGAGGCUACAGGCCCAAGAUGGUGGUGUCGGUCUGGUCCGGUUCUGGCGAGAGCUCCCUUCUGGGUCGCAGCCCGCUGACGACUUCUCGUGUCUUCGCAUGGCAGAGAGAGAGGGGAAGCGAUGCUUCUAAAGGCACUGAUCCCAUUCACGAGGGCCCCACCCUAUGACCUCAGCUCAUCUAACCACCUCCCAAAGCCCCAGGCCUACCAUCUCCUUGGGGGACAGAGUUCCCCCACAAGGACAUUCAGGGAGGACACAAAUGCUCAGUCCAUCAUGGGCUGGAAGGUUUUCCCUUUCCUUUUUUGAUUUUUUUUUUGGUGAGUAACCAGAGCUGCUUUCAUGGAGCUAGCUCCAUUCUUGCCCAUGGAGAAGGAAACCCACCUGAAGACCACCACAGCUCAUGCUUCUGGCCUUUCUGGACAGCCCUUGCUCCCCCCACCUGCCCAGGGUAGCUCCACCCAUGGUUGGGGAACGCACAAACCUGGGUCAGCCAGGGCUCUGGGACUAAAGUAAGGGAAGGCAGAGAGGGUGGUGGGGUGGAGA